ensembl:miRNA
CUUCAUCCACCAGUCCUCCAGGAACAUCAAGGAUCUUAAACUUUGCCAGAGCUACAAAGGC